GGGUGGGAAUGCUUUUGCGGCAUGGGAUGGGGUCGCGUCCUAUCAGCUUGUUGGCGGGGUGAUGGCCCACCAAGGCGUUGACGGGUAGCCGGCCUGAGAGGGUGACCGGCCACAUUGGGACUGAGAUACGGCCCAGACUCCUACGGGAGGCAGCAGUGGGGAAUAUUGCACAAUGGGCGCAAGCCUGAUGCAGCGACGCCGCGUGCGGGAUGGAGGCCUUCGGGUUGUAAACCGCUUUUGUUCAAGGGCAAGGCACGGUUUCGGCCGUGUUGAGUGGAUUGUUCGAAUAAGCACCGGCUAACUACGUGCCAGCAGCCGCGGUAAUACGUAGGGUGCGAGCGUUAUCCGGAUUUAUUGGGCGUAAAGGGCUCGUAGGCGGUUCGUCGCGUCCGGUGUGAAAGUCCAUCGCCUAACGGUGGAUCUGCGCCGGGUACGGGCGGGCUGGAGUGCGGUAGGGGAGACUGGAAUUCCCGGUGUAACGGUGGAAUGUGUAGAUAUCGAGA
rnacentral:rRNA from 1 species